rnacentral:lncRNA from 1 species
GUUGGCACAGAUUACCUUGGAAGAACAUUUCCUGUGUGUAGCUGUAGUCUCUGAAGUUGUUUUUGAGGACAAGGACAUUUAGACUUUUGCGAGAAGGAUGUGGAACUGUCCCUCUGACUCCAUGGACGUGUGUAAAGGAACGAAUGAAUGUGCGAAUGCCUCCAUCUUGUCUCCCUGUUCCCUCUCUCUGUGCGUGCUGGAGAAGGCACCUCUCACCCCAGCCCACUUCAGGUGUGCUGGUUGCCUCCGCUGACGCUGGGGCUGCCCCUUUGUGGGGCGAGCACAACGGUCCCAGCGCCACCUAGCGGCCAGGGAGCCUGGGAGUUGCGCGUCUCGUUUCCCAGUCCAUGGGAUCCGCGGACUACGCCACCUCGCAGAGUUCCGACGCUCUGGCCACUGCCUCCGUCUGUUUUGUUCUCUCCGGUCCAGAGAGUGCGGAGACUUCCGGGGAGCGAACGUGUACGGGUUUCCAGAGUAACCCCGACAACAGGCAGUGAGAUGGCAGCUCUGAGCAGCUUGCUCUAGAACCAACUGUGCGUCCUCCACUUGGACCAAUACCAAUGGGAGAAGCUGGCCAAGCUCUGAGAAGCCGUGCACACCCAAGGAGCAGAGAUGCCAUGGCUUUUUGGUGGUAUUGGCAGGAUGAUACCAGAGGCUAAAUGAUAAGAGCUGAAUGAAUUCUCCAGGAGGAAAAACAUUGGACAAAUGGGUUGGUUCUGAGCACUUGAUAUUACCAGGAGCCAAGCCUAUCACCAGC